rnacentral:rRNA from 1 species
UACGAAGGGGGCUAGCGUUGCUCGGAAUCACUGGGCGUAAAGGGUGCGUAGGCGGGUCUUAAGUCAGGGGUGAAAUCCUGGAGCUCAACUCCAGAACUGCCUUUGAUACUGAAGAUCUUGAGUUCGGGAGAGGUGAGUGGAACUGCGAGUGUAGAGGUGAAAAUUCGUAGAUAUUCGCAAGAACACCAGUGGCGAAGGCGGCUCACUGGCCCGAUACUGACGCUGAGGCACGAAAGCGUGGGGAGCAACAGG